CCUACGGGUGGCAGCAGUGAGGAAUAUUGGUCAAUGGACGCAAGCCUGAACCAGCCAUGUAGCGUGCAGGAUGACGGCUCUACGAGUCGUAAACCGCUUUUGCACGGGGAUAACAGCAUACACGUGUAGCUGUCUGCAAGUACCGUACGAAUAAGGACCGGCUAAUUCCGUGCCAGCAGCCGCGGUAAUACGGAGGAUUCAAGCGUUAUCCGGAUUUAUUGGGGUUAAAGGGUGCGUAGGCGGUCGGAUAAGUUAGCGGUUAAAUCCCGGGGCUCAACUCCGGAAUUGCAUUUGAUACUGUACGUCUAGAGAGCACAUGCGGCAGGCGGAAUGUGUGGUGUAGCGGUGAAAUGCUUAGAGAUCAUACGGAACACCGAUUGCGAAGGCAGCUUGCCGGGGUGCGUCUGACGUUGAGGCACGAAGGUGUGGGGAGCAAACAGGAUUAGAUACCCUAGUAGUC
rnacentral:rRNA from 1 species